rnacentral:rRNA from 1 species
ACACAUNCAAGUCGAGCGGAUGAAGANAGCUUGCUCUCUGAUUCAGCGGCGGACGGGUGAGUAAUGCCUAGGAAUCUGCCUGGUAAUGGGGGACAACGUUUCGAAAGGAACGCUAAUACCNCAUACGUCCUACGGGAGAAANCAGGGGACCUUCGGGCCUUGCGCUAUCACAUGAUCCUAUGUCGGAUUAGCUAGUUGGUGAGGUAAUGGCUCACCAAGGC